ACGGAAGCAGCAGUGGGGAAUAUUGGACAAUGGGGGAAACCCUGAUCCAGCGACGCCGCGUGAGUGAAGAGGUAUUUCGGUAUGUAAAGCUCUAUCAGCAGGGAAGAUAAUGACGGUACCUGACUAAGAAGCACCGGCUAACUACGUGCCCGCAGCCGCGGUAAUACGUAGGGGGCAAGAGUUAUCCGGAUUUACUGGGUGUAAAGGGAGCGUAGACGUCAUGGUAAGUCUGAUGUGAAAACCCAGGGCUCAACCCUGGGACUGCAUUGGAAACUAUCAAGCUAGAGUGCAGGAGAGGUAAGUGGAAUUCCUAGUGUAGCGGUGAAAUGCGUAGAUAUUAGGAGAAACACCAGUGGCGAAGGCGGCUUACUGGACUGUAACUGACGUUGAGGCUCGAAAGCGUGGGGAGCAAACAGGAUUAGAUACCCUGGUA
rnacentral:rRNA from 1 species